AGUGAACGCUGGCGGUAGGCCUAACACAUGCAAGUCGAACGGCAGCACAGUAAGAGCUUGCUCUUACGGGUGGCGAGUGGCGGACGGGUGAGGAAUACAUCGGAAUCUACUUUUUCGUGGGGGAUAACGUAGGGAAACUUACGCUAAUACCGCAUACGACCUACGGGUGAAAGCAGGGGAUCUUCGGACCUUGCGCGAUUGAAUGAGCCGAUGUCGGAUUAGCUAGUUGGCGGGGUAAAGGCCCACCGAGGCGACGAUCCGUAGCUGGUCUGAGAGGAUGAUCAGCCACACUGGAACUGAGACACGGUCCAGACUCCUACGGGAGGCAGCAGUGGGGAAUAUUGGACAAUGGGGGCAAGCCUGAUCCAGCCAUACCGCGUGGGUGAAGAAGGCCUUCGGGUUGUAAAGCCCUUUUGUUGGGAAAGAAAAGCAGCAGGUUAAUACCCCGCCGUUCUGACGGUACCCAAAGAAUAAGCACCGGCUAACUUCGUG
rnacentral:rRNA from 1 species